CUUCAAAAACUUCCUCCCAAAUAAUUGGUUAAAAGAUUCUGUAUUGGAAUUUAGAGUUGAAUCUCUAUCUCUUUCUAUCUUUUUAGGCCUCCUAGAAUUCUUAGUGACGAUUGCUUCGUCACCAUUCUUCCAGGAGGAAUAGUAGUGCUCAGAAAAUUUGAUGCUCUUCACAUUGGUCAUCGAGAACUUGCUAUUCAAGCAUCAAAAGUGGGAACUCCAUAUCUUUUAUCUUUUGUGGGAAUAGCAGCUGUACUUGGAUGGAAGCCUACAUAUGGAUACUGUAUUUUAUUAUUACUUAUGCACCUCCUCUUUAUUCACUGAGACUUUUCCCACUCUCAAUCCUUUCUAUUUUACAUUGGUUUAAACUGAGAGUUUAGAAUGCUUAUGACUUGUUUUGGCACUUUGUGGAGUAGAUUUAUUCUGUGUUUGAGUAGCAGUACCCUUUGCUGCUUUCAUGGCCUUAUAAUACUGAAAAUAGUAGUGUCUACUCUUGUUUGUGUUGGUUGGACUUGCACGUGAACUUGUUCGAUCAUGUACAGCUAAAAUAAACUUUUUUUUUAAUAACACUUGGACCUUUCUGAACAGGGCUCCAUUCCUUGCCAAAUGUGAUCGUAAUAGGGUUCUUACCUUUUGGGCACCGCACUGUGGCAAUGUAGCCCCAUCAGAGUUCCAAAUUGAAUUUUCAAGUGUUCACGCACGACAGUUUGUUGAGAAGUUAUCUAAGGAGCUCAGAGUAUUUGGAGUGGUGGCAGGUUUGUUUGCAUUAGGAAUCAAAUUUUCCUUCUUUUUUUUAAUAUAACUGAUUGCCUGUAAUUUUGUUUAGUAAAAUUCAUAAUGGCUGAUUGUCAAGCGACAACUAUCGUUUCGGAUAUAAAGCUGCUGGUGAUGCAUCAAAGUUGUUGAGGUUGUGUGAGGAGUAUGUUAUGAGGGCUUCCAUUAUAAAUUCUGCUAUGGACAAGAAUAAAGAACUUGGAAACAUGGAUUCAAGUGAUCUAAAGGAUAGAGCACAUACUUCUAGGUCAUUGGCAUCGUCUUGUGUUAAUGCUAAAAAAAAACAAAAGGGAUUUGCUAACACUAGUAGUAGAUGGAACUUGGAAGGCCUCAGUUCCAAAGUCUUGUUUAUUGAAUCUACCACCAAAGGAUGGUUUCUACGAGAACUGUUUUUUUUUUUUAUUUGGUGAUGAGAACCUGGUGAAAUGUAUUGCAUUCUUUGACUCAACAUAUGUUCAUUUAGAAACAGAUGAGGUAGGUCUUAGUAAUUACAAUGGUUCUCAAGACUUCCAGCUCUUGGGUGUUGAAUUUGGUCAUUGAGGAAUUCAUUGUGGUUAAUUUAUUUAUUCUCAAUUUUGAUUUCAUUAAAUUGUAGCAAUUCACAGAGGAGAAGUUUCGCUAAUGUCUCAAAGCAAAUGAUGUAUGCAUGCUCCAUAAGCAAGGGGGUCCUUUGUGGUUUAUUAUCAUUUGAAGCACAUGGUAACCUCAAUACAUAAUGAACUCUGUUCCACCGGUUCUGUGCAUUUUUUUCAUUUAGAAGUGCAAGUGCAUACAAAAUACAGGUUCAUAUAUAGGCUCUAUGGCAUUAAUGCUGACAUGAGUUUUCUUUUGGUUACUCAUAAUGUUGUCUUGGUUACUUUUUCAAUUCUAAGCUUGAUUACAAUCCUUGGAAAAGUUCCAGCAUAAACUUGGUGGCAGCUAGACUGAUUGAAAGAAAAGUGGCUGGAUAUAAUAAUAAACUUGAGGUAACUAUAACCAACUCCAUUACUUCAGUAUCUCUUCUUAUGUUUUGCUCUUGUCAUUACAGUUCUCUUGAUAUGCAAGUUCGAGUUUUUCUACUUAGUUUGGAACUGACAUUUGUGUUGAACCUGUAGGAAUAAAUGCAUAGUUCCUUUAAAGUUUUUGCCAAUAGAAUUAUUUUU
rnacentral:misc_RNA from 1 species